rnacentral:rRNA from 1 species
GACGAACCGAGCGAACGUUGUUCGGAAUCACUGGGCGUAAAGGGCGCGUAGGCGGGGAGGUAAGUCGGGUGUGAAAUCCCUCGGCUCAACCGAGGAACUGCGCCCGAGACUGCUUCUCUUGAGUCUCGGAGAGGAAGGUGGAAUUCCCGGUGUAGCGGUGAAAUGUGUAGAGAUCGGGAGGAACACCGGUGGCGAAGGCGGCCUUCUGGACGGUGACUGACGCUGAGGCGCGAAAGCGUGGGGAGCAAACGGG